CUUUCAGGUUUCCGCUCAAAAGCUGCUUGUGUCUAAAAACAAAGGUGUAGAACACAGCUUGGCAGGCUGAGUAAAAUGGUCCAUGGAGAGCAACAUUGCAGAAUGCCUUUGUUCCCGAAUCCUGGUUAUUAAGAGGAAUAAAUUUAGCUCUUGCCAAAAAGCUUCCAAUAUAAUUUCCAGCAGCCUGCCUGAUGAUGGCAGGAUUACUUGGAUCCUGCAAUUUUUUCCAAAGAUGUUCCAAAAAUGCCUCUGCGAAUCCCUAUAAAAAGAGAGGGCGUCGGUGUGAUAUUUUUUAAUGCCUAAGAUAAUCUGACUAUCAAAAUCCCAAGAUUUUUACUUCACCAAUGUAGGGAAAAGUUCUACUAUCUCAUAACUAUCUCAUGCGCUUCAUUUUUAAAACACGUUGAGAGAAUAUCAUUAGAAACAAAAGGCACCUCGGGUGUUAAAUAAUCCAAUGGAUCCCAAACCUAGCUAAGCAUCAAAAUCAACCCAGGGCCAGGCACAGUGGCUCACGCCUGUAAAUGUAAUCCCA
rnacentral:lncRNA from 10 species